GACGAACGCUGGCGGCGUGCCUAAUACAUGCCAGUCGAACGAGAGCGACCGGUGCUUGCACUGGUCAAUCUAGUGGCGAACGGGUGAGUAACACGUGGGUAACCUGCCCAUCAGAGGGGGAUAACAUCCGGAAACGGAUGCUAAAACCGCAUAGGUCUUCGAACCGCAUGGUUUGAAGAGGAAAAGAGGCGCAAGCUUCUGCUGAUGGAUGGACCCGCGGUGCAUUAGCUAGUUGGUGAGGUAACGGCUCACCAAGGCCGUGAUGCAUAGCCGACCUGAGAGGGUGAUCGGCCACAUUGGGACUGAGACACGGCCCAAACUCCUACGGGAGGCAGCAGUAGGGAAUCUUCCGCAAUGGACGCAAGUCUGACGGAGCAACGCCGCGUGAGUGAAGAAGGUUUUCGGAUCGUAAAACUCUGUUGUUAGAGAAGAACAAGUGCUAGAGUAACUGUUAGCGCCCUGACGGUAUCUAACCAGAAAGCCACGGCUAACUACGUG
rnacentral:rRNA from 1 species